rnacentral:rRNA from 1 species
GAUGAACGCUGGCGGCGUGCUUAACACAUGCAAGUCGAACGGAAAGGCCCAAGCUUGCUUGGGUGCUCGAGUGGCGAACAGGUGAGUAACACGUGGGUGAUCUGCCCUGCACUUUGGGAUAAGCCUGGGAAACUGGGUCUAAUACCGGAUAGGACCAUCGUUUAGUGUCGGUGGUGGAAAGUUUUUCGGUGUGGGAUGAGCUCGCGGCCUAUCAGCUUGUUGGUGGGGUAAUGGCCUACCAAGGCGUCGACGGGUAGCCGGCCUGAGAGGGUGUACGGCCACAUUGGGACUGAGAUACGGCCCAGACUCCUACGGGAGGCAGCAGUGGGGAAUAUUGCACAAUGGGCGCAAGCCUGAUGCAGCGACGCCGCGUGGGGGAUGACGGCCUUCGGGUUGUAAACUCCUUUCGCCAAGGACGAAGCGUUUUGUGACGGUACUUGGAGAAGAAGCACCGGCGAACUACGU